CUAGCGAGAUCUGUAAGGGACUGAUGAAUUGCUGUUCCAAACAGGCUCUUUGUGAUGAGCAUCUGGUGGGUGUGAAGGUUUAGAGUCCUCUGAUGGGCCUGCCCAGCUUCUGAGGAUAGCCAAGCUGCCAGCUGCACUGCACAGAGGGGUAUUUAUGUUUUCCUCUGGCAACACAGAUGAGCUGGUCAUGAAACACCUACAGAUGACAUCCUGAAACUGUCUAGCCUUGAAAAUGGCUGUAAACUCCAUACCUUGACGAUUUUCAGUGCCGCUUUCCAGAACAUUCAACUUAGAAGAAAAUUGCAGACUUCAGAUCUUCCAGUCAAAUGCAGAAUUUAAAAGCCUGUGUUCUUUCUCAUGAGAGCUGAGCUUCCUGUUUGUGUGUGCCUCGUGGCAGCUUAAUAUAAAAUGGUCAAAACCUAAAACUCUUUCCUGGAAGACAAGCCAUAUUCUUGGAAAUGCUCUCUGCUAUGCGCUCCUCCCUUGGAACUAAUUUGAGGCCAUCCUGUACCAAAACAACAGCCAGCAGAUGGGAAAUUCAGAGUCCAUUAAUCCCUUCCAUUCAUUCCACUGCUUUUCUGUACAAGGCCAGUGUCAGCCCUGAGUUUUUUGAAGAGGGAUGUGGACUCUGUCUGAGCAAUGGCCUCAACACACGUUGCUAUGAGUCUACAGCUGAUCUGUAGUUGCAGAGGUAUCUGGAUCUGAAAGCGUGAGCCUUGAUCUCCUGAAAACUCAUAUCUGGUCAAAUCUUGUUAAAGCCACUGGUUCGGAUGGAAAACUAAUGAUGGCUGGCAUCCCUUGCCCUAGGCAUCCGUUUCACCAAAUGAGGUGGACAACCAUGUUAGCUUACAUAUGUGUGGGGAUCCAAGCAAAACCACCACACUCUGUGGGACACCCAGUGACACAGAUGUGAUGGAUAUGAACAGGAAGGGAUGAGGAAAGAGUUUCCUGAGCAGUCAGGACUGCAGAAAUCUUCCAAGAACAAGUCUGUGUUCACAUUUCUUCUCAUAUCAGCAGUCACCUUGCGGGCAGGCAUGCAAAACAAAAUACUGAAGGAAGAACUGAAGCAGAGAAACAUCACUAGUCCCUAAAUCUGUUCUUCCCAACCACUGCACUGCAACAAGCUAAAUCUUGCCUUUGUAUCCCACUUUAUGCUGUAUUCCCCAGGACUGCCAGCACUGGCUGUGCCCCAGCACCAGGCAGACAUUGCCACGUGUCCUUGGGGUGUCCUGCAGAGCACGUGCACACCACUGAAGCGUGCAAGCAGAGCAUGAGUGAGGCAAGAAUGAGCUCUUCUCUUCCCAGUAGAAAAUCUUUAUAGUGAAUAGGGCUCUGCAAACUAGAUAAGGCUUCUCAGAUGAAAAUAUGCUUCCCCUUCCUGGCAGUCUAAAAUUUCUUCUGAUGGUGAUGAUGCCUUGAACAAUGACAACUUUCAUUCAUCUCUUCUGGCCAUGAGAUUGCUGAGAGUUCAUGUUUUAAGCUCUUUCACUUUCCUGAAGGCACAUAAAAGCCUCUCAUCACUGCUCAAGCACAGUCCUCCAUUAGGAGUUAUUUAAACAGGAACAGCUUUCACUGCUCCAAAUGUCUUUGUAUGAAAUCCUUCUAGCACUGUGUGUGGCAUCAGCCAGGAGCUGAUCUGGCACACACUGUGCUGGACAUACUGGUAAUGGAUAGCUAAUUAACCUGAUUUAUCAGCCAGUCCUUUUCCAAGACGGUAUUGAUGAUUUUAAAGCUAAAAUGUCAUAUAGCCUUUCCAUUUUCCCAAAUCCCUAAAGCUUUUUGUCAUUGUCAGAUGUUAAAAAAAUAAAUAAAUGAGAGCACUU
ensembl:lncRNA